UUGGAAGGAAGGAAUCGUAACAAGGUUUCCGUAGGUGAACCUGCGGAAGGAUCAUUG
rnacentral:rRNA from 2 species